rnacentral:rRNA from 1 species
GUGGGGAAUAUUGGACAAUGGGCGAAAGCCUGAUCCAGCCAUGCCGCGUGUGUGAAGAAGGUCUUCGGAUUGUAAAGCACUUUAAGUUGGGAGGAAGGGCAGUAAGUUAAUACCUUGCUGUUUUGACGUUACCAACAGAAUAAGCACCGGCUAACUACGUGCCAGCAGCCGCGGUAAUACGUAGGGUGCAAGCGUUAAUCGGAAUUACUGGGCGUAAAGCGUGCGCAGGCGGCUUUGUAAGACGGAUGUGAACGCUCCGGGCUCAAACUGGGAAGUGCAUUCGUAACUGCAAGGCUAGAGUGUGUCAGAGGGAGGUGGAAUUUCCUGUGUAGCGGUGAAAUGCGUAGAUAUAGGAAGGAACACCAGUGGCGAAGGCGACUACCUAGACUGAUACUGACACUGAGGUGCGAAAGCGUGGGUAGCAAACAGGAUUAGAUACCCGAGUAGUCC